rnacentral:rRNA from 1 species
GUUGCCAUCGGGUAAUGCCGGGCACUCUGGAAGGACUGCCAUCGACAAGAUGGAGGAAGGUGGGGAGUGACGUCAAGUCAUCAUGGCCCUUAUGUCCAGGGCGACACACGUGCUACAAUGGCCGGCACAACGGGAAGCGAGUUCGCGAGGACGAGCGGAUCCCUCAAAGCCGGUCGCAGUUCGGAUUGAAGUCUGCAACUCGACUUCAUGAAGCUGGAAUCGCUAGUAAUCGUGGAUCAGCCAAGCCGCGGUGAAUACGUUCCCGGGCCUU